GCCGGCGUAGCUCAGUUGGUAGAGCAGCUGAUUCGUAAUCAGCAGGUCAGCGGUUCGAGUCCGCUCGCCGGCU
rnacentral:tRNA from 1 species